rnacentral:misc_RNA from 1 species
GAUCACCCGACAGGCGCCUAUGCAGACCACCCUCUCCGGAUUCAUCGGCUCCGCCCAAAGGGUGGGGCUGCCAACAAAAGGUGAAACAGAGACAAAAUCCACAAUGAAGCGGCGGCGCGACGGGGAAUAUGCGAACUCAUAUCCUAUCGGUUCACGAACGGCCAACACACUGGCUUCGCAGCUUCGCCAUCUUCGCCCACACCUCUGCAGUGGUUUUUUCGCGCACUCGAAGUAUGGCCGUCGCUUGCACCCUUGCAACGCAUUUGCACUUUGCAAGGCACCAGUAAUUCGCACUGUUGUCUCAAGCCUACACCCUGCUCGCAACAGCGGCGAUGGGGAGCUGCUUGUCUCACCACUGGACACCUUCAGAUAUUCCAUCCUGAGCACUGCAUGGGACCCCAGAGAUGAGUACAUCAUUGCCGCUCAACGCUCCGGCUUUCAGCUUUUCGGCGCGUCCUCGUGGCUUGCAGAUGGCAAGGUGCCAUGCGAAACAUCGAAGCCAGUUCUGGAGCUCAAAUCGGCCACGGUGCAAGCACGACUAGGAGGAGAAAAUAGAAUCAGCUUUGGGCUCUUAGUCACACAGUUUCUUGGCAGCUCAUUAAACACCAUUUGUGGUUAUAGUGGUGCUCAACAGCUCGAUAUUUUUGACCUGGAGGACUUGGAUGAAGCAACAGGAGAGCCGCUCCGUACGUACAACCUUCGCGCUUUACGAUUUGACAGCUGCUCUCCGCUUGUGAGUAGCGUCUCGGCAACCACCGCCGUAGUAACAGUGUCAGACGCCGUCGCUGUCGCUGCUUUGUCCAACGGCUGUACUGCACUUGUCGAUGUGCGGACUGCAAGUCCUGUGCUUUGUACUGAGGCCCCGCCACCACCUGCAAUUUUGAGUGCGUGUAACCCGGGCACGCGACGAGUUGCGCAAGGAACAGCAAUCACGGCCGUUGAAGUAGCGGAUCGUAGCAAUUGCGUUGAGUUACUGACUGGUACCAAAGAUGGAAUGCUCGUACUCUGGGACUUGCGAAAGCGUAACGAGCCUGUUGCAAUAAGUUCUGUCGGUGGAGAGAUCGAAGCGCUGCACGUUAUCGGCCCAUUAUCGUCGUGCAGGUGCGGUGCGCCAAUGUUGUGGCUCAACACCGAUUCUGGCGACAUUGCUUGCUUCUCAAUUGGUGCGUCGUCUUUUGAAGAAGUGACGCGCGUCAGCACCAGCGACUCACGCCGCACUCAACUUUCAGCCAACCUCUCACCACCAAAGCUCUCUGUUAUGCCUCUGCUCGAUUGUCUCAUUUAUCCCCAUGUUUCGUCAAACAGUCUUUUGUUUUACGAUAUCGGCCGCCCUCCCUGUGCGACCGAAAGCCAAUCAACCGCUGGUGUUUUGAAACGCAGCUUCACCGGUACGCAGAAAAAUAAGCAAACAUCCUUUAUGGAUGGCUUCAUGGCUGCCAGAGUGCUUCUGCCUGAGGGUGAGAGCGAUGACGACUGCGCGUUUUUGCCCUCUGAUUUGAAGAAGAGCACAUGGUCCCCGUCCCUUCUUUUCUCUUGCCCAUUUUCUGAGUGGUCAGACCAGAUAUGUAGCGUUUCUGCGUCUAACAAACACAGCGCAGUUUGUGUCGGGGGUGAUGACGGCGACUUGCAUGUGCUCUCCGACUCUGCCUCAUAGAUCUAGAGAAAAAAAAGCCGCCUAAAAAAAAGCUGAGUCUGAAGAAAACAAAGGUUUCUCUGGUAAUACGGCUGUUUAUCACUUCUCCGUGACCCUGCUACCGGGCUGUCUUAUGUCGAUGCGUGUGUUUGAUCUUGUUUUCAGCUCGCACAGCUGUUGGGAAGAGUCCCCGCUGGGUAGCAAGGCCGAGCUUAUUUUUUCUGUGAAGGGCGUAGGUCUUUGAAGACCAAGACAUCCUUUAU